rnacentral:rRNA from 1 species
CCAAUAGCGUAUAUUAAAGUUGCUGCAGUUAAAAAGCUCGUAGUUGAAUUUCGGGACCAUCAUGUCGGUCGUGCCUCGGUACGUACUGGUAUUGUUGGUUUCUCCCUUCUGACGAACCAUGAUGCAAUUUAUUUGGUGUUGUGGGGAAUCAGGACUGUUACUUUGAAAAAAUUAGAGUGUUUAAAGCAGGCUCACGCUUGCAUACCUUAGCAUGGAAUAAUGAAAUAGGACGUUUGAUUCUAUUUUGUUGGUUUCUAGGAUUGACGUAAUGAUUAAUAGGGAUAGUUGGGGGCAUUAGUAUUCAAUUGUUAGAGGUGAAAUUCUUGGAUUUAUUGAAGACUAACUACUGCGAAAGCAUUUGCCAAGGAUGUUUUCAUUAAUCAAGAACGAAAGUUAGGGGAUCGAAGACGAUCAGAUACCGUCGUAGUCUUAACCAUAAACUAUGCCGACUAGGGAUCGGAUGAUGUUAAUUUUUUAAUGACUCAUUCGGCGCCUUACG